rnacentral:tRNA from 1 species
UCCCGGAUCGCUUAGUGGUAAAGCCUGUAUCUUGUAAAUACAUGCCCGGUGUUCGAUUCACCGUCUGGGAAC